rnacentral:rRNA from 1 species
AUUGAACGCUGGCGGCAUGCCUUACACAUGCAAGUCGAACGGUAACAGGUCUUCGGAUGCUGACGAGUGGCGAACGGGUGAGUAAUACAUCGGAACGUGCCCGAGAGUGGGGGAUAACGAGGCGAAAGCUUUGCUAAUACCGCAUACGAUCUCAGGAUGAAAGCAGGGGACCGCAAGGCCUUGCGCUCACGGGGCGGCCGAUGGCAGAUUAGGUAGUUGGCGGGAUAAAAGCUUACCAAGCCGACGAUCUGUAGCUGGUCUGAGAGGACGACCAGCCACACUGGGACUGAGACACGGCCCAGACUCCUACGGGAGGCAGCAGUGGGGAAUUUUGGACAAUGGGCGCAAGCCUGAUCCAGCCAUGCCGCGUGCAGGAUGAAGGCCUUCGGGUUGUAAACUGCUUUUGUACGGAACGAAAAGACUCCUUCCAAUAAAGGGGGUCCAUGACGGUACCGUAAGAAUAAGCACCGGCUAACUACGUGCCAGCCGCCGCCGUAACAC